rnacentral:rRNA from 1 species
GCGCACCAGGCGCGAAACCUCCGCAAUGCGCGAAAGCGCGACGGGGUUACCCCGAGUGCCGUCCGCUGAGGACGGCUUUUGUCCAGUGUAGCCAGCUGGGCGAAUAAGGAGAGGGCAAGUCUGGUGUCAGCCGCCGCGGUAAUACCAGCUCUCCGAGUGGUGGGGACGCUUAUUGGGCCUAAAGCAUCCGUAGCCGGUCUGGCAAGUCCCUUGUUAAAUCCAACGAUUCAAUCGUUGGACUGCAAGGGGAUACUGCCAGACUAGGGGGCGGAGAGGCCGACGGUAUUCCCGGGGUAGGGGUGAAAUCCUAUAAUCCCGGGGAGGACCACCAGUGGCCGAAGGCUGUCGGCUAGAACGCGCCCGACGGUGAGGGAUGAAAGCUGGGGGAGC